rnacentral:rRNA from 1 species
UACGGGAGGCAGCAGUGGGGAAUAUUGCACAAUGGGCGAAAGCCUGAUGCAGCUAUGCCGCGUGUAUGAAGAAGGCCUUAGGGUUGUAAAGUACUUUCAUCGGGGAGGAAAAACAAAACUAAUAAUUUUAUUUCUUGACGUUACCCGAAAAAGAAGCACCGGCUAACUCCGUGCCAGCAGCCGCGGUAAUACGGAGGGUGCUAGCGUUAAUCAGAAUUACUGGGCGUAAAGAGCACGUAGGUGGUUUUUUAAGUUCAGAUGUGAAAUCCCUGGGCUUAACCUAGGAACUGCAUUUUGAAACUGAAAUACUAGAGUAUCGUAGAGGGAGGUAGAAUUCUAGGUGUAGCGGUGAAAUGCGUAGGAUAUCUGGAGGAAUACCUGUGGCGAAAGCGGCCUCCUAAACGAAUACUGACACUGAGGUGCGAAAGCGUGGGGAGCAAACAGGGAUUAGAUACC